CUAAUACUUAAAUUCAUGCCGUAAUCAGUUCGAUUUAUGGUGGUUUAAGUUGGUUUCCUAGCACUCACUCUAAUGUAUAUCUUUGACAUUAGGAGGGUUAAUCUUUCAAUAUGGCCAUGAGUAAGAGCAGAAAAUAUGUUCCCUCCAGAGUUACAAGUUACUCGGACAAGUCUUUAUUCAUCCACAUUACACGUAUACAUACAUACACAAGGACGAAAUAAAUACAACAGUUUAUUAUGCAUGGUCCAGCGUUCCAAAAAAAGAAAUUAUCUAGUCAUGUCAAAGUUUCCGAUUGUGCUUGAAUUUGUAUGGUAAAAACAUAUGUACCAGCAUAAUAAAAAUAAUGGGAA
rnacentral:lncRNA from 1 species